UUUUUUUGUAUUGAAGGUUACAGUGACUUGUUACAUAGUUCAAUCAUGAGUGGCUUUUAAGUUCUCAACUUUUUUUUUCCUUCAAGAGAGUGCUAUUGAUUUCUAACAUCAUUGAGUGGCUGUUACCCAGGGAUGCUUUGUUCGAAUACUCAAAACAUGUGAUGAGUCUAGGUGGUUUACUCUUUGAGCUUCUCUCAGAAGCAUUAGGUUUGGAACCUGAUAUCCUGAAGAGCAAGGGGUGCUUGAAGAGUUUGCUUAUGAUCUGCCAUUAUUACCCACCUUGUCCACAACCUGACCUAACUUUGGGGACAAGUAAACACUCCGACAACUCCUUCAUCACGGUUCUUCUUCAAGACAACAUCGGUGGCCUACAAAUUCUUCAUCAAGAUUCUUGGGUUGAUGUGGCUCCUCUUCCUGGAGCUCUCAUCAUCAACAUUGGAGAUUUCUUGCAGGUAAAGUAAUAAUUGAAAAAAUAAAUAAAUAAAUACCAAAAUAUAUUUAGUUUCUUUUUUUUUUUUUUUUUAAAAGGAAUUUAGUUUCUUUUUUUUUUUAGUUUAUUUAUGUGUGUCUUUUUUUUUGGGUGUAAAUGUUAAGAUUAUUUAUGCGUUUCGGUUUUUUUUUCUUUGCAGCUGAUGACGAACGAUAAGUUUGUAAGUGUGGAGCAUAGGGUGCUUGCGAAUAGACAAGGUCCAAGGAUAUCAGUUGCAAGCUUUUUUAGCUCAAGUAAACGUGCCAAUUCCACAGUUUAUGGACCAAUGAAAGAGCUUGUGUCUGAAGAAAACCCUCCAAAAUACAGAGAUAUAACCAUAAAAGAAUACACAGAUGGAUACAAUGAGAAAGGUCUGGAUGGAACAUCACAUCUCUUGAAUUUCAGGAUAUGAAAACAAAACUACAGAAAAAGAAUUUUAAGGUGUUUCUUAGCAUGAAUUACUCUUUUCUUGGAUCUUCAAUAAUUAAACCAGUAGUGUACCAAAUUGCGUGUGUGCGUAUAUACGUACCAGACACUAUAUGUGGAUCUUUAUACGUUUGUCAUAUGUAUCAGUCUGUAUCUUUCUACUUUAGUCAUAUGUAUCAGAUUAUACAGAAGUGAAAUGCACUGCAUGUACUGAUCAUAAGAACUUCCACAUUUUACAUUACAUAAAAAAUGUCUAAUGUUCAUUCAAGUUCAUUUUUUAUUUUUUUGCUCUUUUUUUCUUGAUGGGGUAAAUCAAAGAAAUUAAAAAUAAUGCUUGCUGAUUGGAGUUCCUCAGAGAUUUUUGUAUUUUUUUUUGGUAAAAGAUAUUUUUGUAUUUUACAACAUAUAUAUUGUUUUAUCGUAAAUUCGUCAAAAAGAUUCAUGACGGAUGGUAGUUGUCGGACAUAUAUUUAAUUUCUUAUUUAUCUUUAUAUGACAUACUUUUAUGUUUCACAAAAACUAUCAUUCAUUUUUUUUAGUUUUAAAAAGAAUGUCAUUUUGUAUUUACAAUAUCACUUAUAUAUUUAAUCUCUUAUUCACCCUUUAAAAUAACCAAAAUAUUUGUAUAUAAAUUAUUUUUUCAUUUAAUUAAUUGUAUAUUAAAUAAUAGUAAAUAUUUUAUAAAUUUUGUACGUGUGUGAAAGAUACCAAAACGAUAUUUUUUGCGAAAUGAAAAUAGUAUAAAUUAUUGAUUAUAAAUCAAGUACGUAAUUUUUACAAUUUGUAAUAAAUCAUUAUUAAAAAAGUUUAACAUUAAUUACUAUUUUAUAUUAGUAAAUGCAUUUUUGUUAGAUGUAAAAAGGAAAAGUAUCUCCUAAAUUUCAGCACUUGAGUUUCAGUAAUUAAAGGUGAAUCUAGGGCUAUUUGCAUUAUUAGGUGAUUAGACCUUAGCAUAAAACAAAAGUGGAGAAGAAAAAUUCAAUUACAACUUGUAGUCUGACAAAGCCAGUAAUGUGUCGAGAGCAAGACAAGAUACCUAGACACAUUCGGUCCACACACAAUGAUCAAACUCAUCCGUUGAUUCCGUUCUCAAUCUUUCCUCUUUUAAUCUCAUUAUCUCCAAGCAAACAUCUUGUGGGAAAAAAACAAGAUGAUAACGAACGAUCGGUUUGUAAGUGUGGAUAGGGACGAAGCCAGAAAUUUUUUUAUAAUAGGUACACAAAUAUUAAAUAAAAUAUUAAACAAAACAUUAAAUAAACUAUUUUAGAUAUAUAUUAAAAAUAUUUUGUUUUCAAUAAAAAUGAAUAAUCAUUUAAAAAUAAUAUUUCAUUCAAUUUCGUAAAGUUGUUUCUACUAUUUCUACUGCAGAAAAAUAUUUUUCAAUACUUAUCGUUGCAACUUGUAAAGUCAAAAUCAACUUGAAAAAUCUAUAAACUAAAAAUAAAAAUUAUUAAGUAAUAAACUAUUUUUUUCAUCGUCGAGAUAAAUCUAAUUAAAACUGAAAACGUAACAUAAUUCAAAUAUGAAAUCUACCAAAAAUAUGACUAAUGAAACGUAAAUAAAUUACAAACAUGUAAAACCUCCAAACAUCAACUGUAGUCAAAGAGUAAAGCCACUUCUAUGACUUUUGAACUUUUACUACUGAAUAAAAAACUUAGAUGAUAUCUAAAUUAAUAAUUACAAAUCGUAGACAUUGUUAGAACAACUCAAAACAUUAACAUAAAGAUUAUUAAAUUAGUUACCAGUUUUGUAUGGUAGACAAUACAAUAAAACUUUGUUAAUUUGAUUUGAUGGUUUGCACUUGCAUGUUUAAGAAGAAAAGUUUAAGCGAUUAAAUUUUUUGAGCGAAUUGUUAGGAUUUUAACAAAAAAAAAUAGAGAAUACAAUUGGGCUUUAAAGACAAUUUUAAUUUUUGAUGGGGUAAAUUAUUUUUAAUUUUUUCAUUUGGGCUUAAUGUAAAUUUUAGUGGGUGCAAUAUCAUGAAUUAUAGUGAGUGCACAUUUAAAAUUCCUUAACAAUUACAUUAAUUUUUAAAAAAAUCAUGGGUGCAUGUGCACCCCUUCCCUCCUGAGUGUGGAGCAUAGGGUGCUUGCGAAUAGACAAGGACCAAGGAUUUCAGUUGCAAGCUUUUUUAGCUCAAGUAAACAUGCCAAUUCCACAGUUUAUGGACCAAUGAAAGAGCUUGUGUCCGAAGAAAACCCUCCAAAAUACAGAGACAUAACCAUAAAAGAAUACACAGAUGGAUAUUUUGAGAAAGGUCUGGAUGGAACAUCGCAUCUCUUGAAUUUCAGGAUAUGAAAACAAAACUACAGAAAAGUGUUUCUUAGCACCAGUUACUCUUUUCUUGGAUCUGCAAUAUAUAUCAGACUAUAUGUGGAUCUCUCUACUGAAGUCAUAUGUAUCAAGAGGUUUGUAUUUGGGACUGAUAAUUUACUAAUGCAUUUAUAUCAAGAGAUUUAUAUUUCAAAUUUCUAAAAUGAUUUAGUAACAAUUAUACAAAAUAAUAAAAAAUAGAAAAAAUGCUUAUAUAGAAUAUUCGUUAAUACAAGUAAAACCGUCAGACAUAAGGUAACUUAGUACAAAUAAAACUGUCAAAUAUGUAUCUCAUAAAGAAUAUAAAAGUAACAAGGAACUUAAUACCUCGCAAUCUGCGGUGUGAUAAUUAUUGCCCAAGAUGUGGAGAGCCAGAGGAAAAUGUAACCCACACAAUCUUUGAAUGUCCACCAGCAUUACAAGCAUGGGAACUAUCAUCUACGCCGUCAAACCCCCAAACUUUCCCCAUAUCGAGUAUGUACGCCAAUAUAGACUACCUUUUCUGGAGGAAAAAUACAAUUAGAAGGCCAGAAGAUGAUAGAGACCCUUACCCCUGGAUAAUGUGGUACAUAUGAAAGACGAGGAAUGAUAAGCUAUUCAGGGGGAUUGACAGGGACCCUUUAGAACUGGUCAGGUACGCAGAGAGUGAAUGUCAGGCUUGGUAUAAUGCUAAGGAGUCUAUACCUAUACCCCCACAGGCACCAAACACUGAAGUGGUACAAGCCUUAAGCUUGAAUAAUAUGUGUAUGGUGGAUGGCUCUUGGACAUCCACAGAUCUUUUCAGUGGAAUUGGAUGGGUAUGGAAGGAUAACACGGAAAAGAUCCAACUUAUGGAAACACGGAACUUAAGGAGGCGGAAGACAGCACUACACUCGGAAUUGGAAGCAUUGAAAUGGGCACUGGAAAGCAUGCUUCAACAUUCAAACUGCCAACACUUUGGAACAGAUUGCAAGGACCUGAUAGCCAUGAUAAAAGAACCCCAAGCCUGGCCAAACUUUUCAACGGAGCUGGAAACCAUUCAAAUUAUCCUCAUGUGUUAUUCGGAUUUCAAGAUCACCUAUGUGCCAAGAACACAUAAUAAAAUUGCUGAUUCUUUAGCUAGGAAUCCUCGAUCUUUUCAUAGAUCUCUUUGUUUUAUUGGUUGUUAUAUUCCGGUCUGGUUACCCAGACCACCUCAUGUUUGAGUAAUAGAAUAGCCGUUUGUUGACAAAAAAAAAGAAUAUAAAAGUAUUGGUAAUAAAAUCAUACAUGUAAUAAUUCUUAUAAUUUGUAACAAAAUAAUAAAUAUUUAUUUUACAGUAAUAGUAUUAAAAAGUUUAACACAAUAUUAUUUUACAGUAAUAGUAAAUACAUUUUUGUUAGAUGUAAAAAAGUAAAAAUAUCUCAACUUCAAUCUAGGGCUAUGUGCAUUACAAAGUAAUAAGACAUAUUGGAGAAGAAAUAUCCAAACUACAACUUGUAGUCUACAACAACUCACAAAGCCGGUGGUGUCUCGAGAGUCGAGAGAAACAGACAAGAUUAAUGUAAUCAUCAUAGACACAUUCGGUCCCACACACUAAUGAUCAAACUCCAACCAUCUGUUGAUUCCAUCCACAAUCUUUCCUCUUUUAGCUUGCUUUAUCUUCUUCUAUUCUAAGCAAACAUUUGUGAAGAAAAGGAGACAACAAUGGUGACUGAAACCUCGAUUGAAUUCGAUCCUUAUAUGGAUCGCAAAGCUUUCGAUGAGACGAAAGGAGGAGUAAAAGGGUUGGUCGACGCUAAAAUCACCCAAGUCCCUCGUAUCUUCCAUGUCCCUCAAGAUUCCUUGACCGGCAAGAAACCCUCUGUCUCAGACCUAAAAAUCCCUACCAUCGACUUCGCUAGCGUCCACUUGGACACAGCGUCACGUGAAGCCAUUGUAGAGAAGGUCAACUAUGCGGCUGAGAAGUGGGGAUUUUUCCAGGUCAUCAACCAUGGCGUUCCUUUGAACGUUCUUGAAGAGAUUAAAGAUGGAGUUCGUAGGUUUCACGAGGAUGAUCCUGAGGUCAAGAAACGAUAUUUCUCGCGUGAUAGUGCCAACAAAAAGUUUGUAUACUAUAGUAACUUCGAUCUAUACAGUUCUUCGACUUCUGUUAACUAGAGAGAUACUUUCACUUGUUACAUAGCUCCCGAUCCUCCAUCUCCUGAGGAACUCCCAGUGACUUGCAGGUUACGGAAACAGACUUUUAACUUCUUCUUUUUUUUUUUUGUAUUGUAUAGAAGGUUACAAAUAAACUGAAUCUAAUCAUCAAUCAGAGCUGCAAUAGGUAGAUAAAUUUCAGUGUGGUUAAAGUGUCACAUACUUAAUUCCUGUUUAUUUCGGUUUGAUAGGAUCGAUUUUUAUUUAUGUUUGGAUAGCAAAAUAUGUCUCAAGUUUUACAGACUUUCAAAGAGAUUGAAGUUUUAAUUAAUUGGUUAAAGCCAAACCGUUUAGUAUUUCUUAGUAUUGGUUAAGCCAGAUUGAUCAGCCUAGCUAGGUAAACAUCGGUUGUCAAAGCAUGUGGUUAUCAAUUAGUCUCUUUAAAAUUCUAACUGUUUAGCUUGUUAUUGAUUUCAAAUGUCAUUGAUUGACUCAGGGAUGCUAUGUUCGAAUACUCAAAACAUGUGAUGAGUUUAGGUGGUUUACUCUUUGAGCUUCUUUCAGAAGCACUAGGUUUGAAAUCUGAGACCCUUAAGAGCAAGGAGUGCUUGAAGACUUUGCUUAUGAUCUGCCAAUAUUACCCACCUUGUCCUCAACCUGACCUAACUUUGGGGAUAAGUAAACACUCAGAC
rnacentral:lncRNA from 1 species